UCAAUACUAGCUCCGUUCCGAAUUACUUGUUGCAGGUAUGGAUGUAUCUAGAUGUAUUUUAGUUCUAGAUACAUUCAUUUCUGCGACGAGUAAUUUGGAACGAAGGGAGUAUAUG
rnacentral:pre_miRNA from 1 species